rnacentral:lncRNA from 1 species
CGAAGUUAGUGGUGUGUUUGUUUGUGUGGCAGCGCUUUGAGUGCUGUGACCAUUGCUGAGUGUCGUAGUAGGAGAGGGUAUGUCUUUUAAAACGUUGCUUAUUCCGACAUGUGUUUUAACGAUUGUGAUGGUGCAUUAAGAUGGUUUCUUUUCCACUAGCGCAUGGGGUAAGAAUUGGGCAGACGCACUCCAAGCUGCACGAGUAAGUUAUGACAGUUUUGUUUUUAAAAGUCGUUAUGUUUGUGUCUUUAUAGAUGGCAACAGUCUCUGCCCCAGUGCAAGCUGCUGUUUUCUUACCAUUGUUAAUGUGCUUAUUAGACAUUGUGCAUGGGUGCUGCUCUAUGAGAUUUUAAAACUGAAAUUCCCUCUAGCCAGUUGACUAUACGGUUUAUGUAGACUCCAGUAUUGGUGAAGUGUGAUCCAUCAACUAGAAGGCUUUCUCUUCUAUUUCUUUAAUUUAGUUUUUUGUUUCUUUUGUUCUUUUCUUUUUGAAGUUUGUCAGCCUUGUUGCUGGUUGGGCCAGGAUCUUUUGGGAGGCUAAUUAGGAGCAGGUUUCCUCAAAGUGUGUUCACGAGAGUGCCUUGAGGGUAAACUGCUCCCAUGUGCGGAAGACACAGCAAUGCUUUGAGCUACGUGCUCACAAUGACAGCAGGAAGAUGUCCGAGGUCAGAACCGAACGCUGCAGGAGGACUCGAGUCUCCAGUACUGCUAAAAGAUUGUUUACCCUAGAGCCAUGUGUUGAACGGAGUUUGGAGGAGAACAUUGCUGAUCACCAUCUCUUUAAGGUAUCAAGGUAUUAUGUAAAAGAAACUCGUACAACCUCACUUCUAAAUAACUGAACCAUCCCUUUAAGUAUAUCUUCUGUGUUGUUUUCAGAAGAAUCUUCUCGGGUCACGUGUUCCAAAGUUUUCAGGAGCCCUAGCACUAUGCAACACCAUGUUAGGUUUUAUAAAGAGGUUGAGUUUCUGUCAGUCCCUUGUAGAAGAAUUCAUCUGUUGUAUAUCU